rnacentral:tmRNA from 1 species
GGGGACGCGUGGGUUCGACAGGGGGAGUAUGCUGCAGGAUUGCAAGCUGAGGUGCCGCUACCCUCAUAAAACAAGUGGCAAAAAAUAAUUGGCGAACCAGAAUUCGCAUUUGCUGCCUAACUAAAUAGGUUGCACAUCCAACCCAACCUCGCCUCAAUGGGUUGGGAUUGGGUGCCGAAAAGUUGAGGUGCCACCAUUCUAAUGUCGAUAAGGGUGGUGAAAGAAUUAUCGGCUGGCUUAGCUAAACUCGGUCAGCAGAGGCUAGCUAGGUAAGAAAAAGAGCUGACUAAGCUUGUAGGAUAUUCUGGGUAGCUUCCUUUGGACGGGGAGUUCGACUCUCCCCCGUCUCCACCA